UUGGCUACGGAACAGAAACGACCCGUCCACUCAGACGUGGUGAUGAUGCGUUUGAGACGCUGAAUGUGCUGAGCUGGAACGUUGAAACGGCCGUCCUGCAAGUGGAAAGGGCAAACAGGCGCUGAUGACUCAUCUACGGGAGAGCGCGGGUAGCCCGAUUAGCCAAAUGCCACAGUCAACAAAAGGCGGGUUAUUGCCAACACGC
rnacentral:RNase_P_RNA from 1 species